CCUACGGGGGGCAGCAGUAGGGAAUAUUGCUCAAUGGGGGAAACCCUGAAGCAGCAACGCCGCGUGGAGGAUGAAGGUUUUCGGAGUGUAAACUCCUUUUGUUAGAGGAGAUAAUGACGGUAUCUAACGAAUAAGCACCGGCUAACUCCGUGCCAGCAGCCGCGGUAAUACGGAGGGUGCAAGCGUUAUUCGGAGUCACUGGGCGUAAAGAGCGCGUAGGCGGGAUAGCAAGUCAGAUGUGAAAUCCUAUGGCUUAACCAUAGAACUGCAUUUGAAACUGUUAUUCUUGAGUAUGGGAGAGGUAGGUGGAAUUCGUGGUGUAGGGGUAAAAUCCGUAGAGAUCAAGAAGAAUACUCAUUGCGAAGGCGACCUGCUAGAACAUAACUGACGCUGAUGCGCGAAAGCGUGGGGAGCAAACAGGAUUAGAUACCCGAGUAGUC
rnacentral:rRNA from 1 species